CAGCCGCCGCGGGAAUACGUAGGGUGCGAGCGUUAAUCGGAAUUACUGGGCGUAAAGCGUGCGCAGGCGGUUCGUUAAGACAGAUGUGAAAUCCCCGGGCUUAACCUGGGAACUGCAUUUGUGACUUGCGAGCUAGAGUAUGGCAGAGGGGGGUAGAAUUCCACGUGUAGCAGUGAACUGCGUAGAGAUGUGGAGGAAUACCGAUGGCGAAGGCAGCCCCCUGGGCCAAUACUGACGCUCAUGCACGAAAGCGUGGGGAGCAAACAUGAUUAGAUACCCCAGUAGUCCCUGUCUCUUAUAC
rnacentral:rRNA from 1 species